rnacentral:rRNA from 1 species
GAUGAACGCUGGCGGCGUGCCUAAUACAUGCAAGUCGAGCGAACAGACGAGGAGCUUGCUCCUCUGACGUUAGCGGCGGACGGGUGAGUAACACGUGGAUAACCUACCUAUAAGACUGGGAUAACUUCGGGAAACCGGAGCUAAUACCGGAUAAUAUAUUGAACCGCAUGGUUCAAUAGUGAAAGACGGUUUUGCUGUCACUUAUAGAUGGAUCCGCGCCGCAUUAGCUAGUUGGUAAGGUAACGGCUUACCAAGGCAACGAUGCGUAGCCGACCUGAGAGGGUGAUCGGCCACCCUGGAACUUGGGAACGGUCCAGACUCCCACGGGAGGCCGCAGUAGGGAAUCUUCCGCAAAGGGGGAAAGCCUGACGGAGCAACGCCGCGUGAGUGAUGAAGGUCUUCGGAUCGUAAAACUCUGUUAUUAGGGAAGAACAAAUGUGUAAGUAACUAUGCACGUCUUGACGGUACCUAAUCAGAAAGCCACGGCUAACUACGUG